UAAAAGUUAUUGUCUAUUGAUUACAUGUCAGACUUCUCUGGCUAGAGAAGCUCUGCGUAUGAUUCCAAAAUACCUGGCAAUAAAAACGAAAGCCUUUGCAAUCAAUCUCCUGACUCCAAGCCUGUUAAUUCUUGCUACACUAAGAACCACUUUCGAGGCUCCAACAAUUGGUGACGCCGACGUGAUUCGCUACAUCUACAUUUAAGAAGGGGUGCUUGAGCAAGAGGUGCCACCAUGACCUGUACGUCUCUCUGCUAAGGAGUGGAGAGAUCAGA